rnacentral:lncRNA from 1 species
GGUAGCAACGCAGUAUGUGCUUGGUAUGCUAAUGGGACUUCGAUUUUUUCACUUGAGCAAUGGCUCUAGUGCUAUCGUAGUAAAGUAGGACCGAAUCAUUGAUGAAGAGUGCCACUUCGAGCUCAUCGAUGAACCUCUGCAACCAUAUAGCUUCUUUCGCAGCAUCGGAUGCCGUGACAUACUCCACCUCACAAACUAAGUCAGUCACGGUAUAUUGCUUGAAAUUUUUUCAUAAGACUGCUCCAUUGUUC